CUCCCUCCAUCCACCCGCUAUCUAUGCAUCCAUCUGUCCCUCCUCCUUCUCUUCCUCCUCCUCCUCCUCCUGGUUGGUGGUGUGUCGGUGUUGGAGAGCUCUGACACACGCGCGCGCGCACACCUCCGCCGAUGUGUCACUACCCAUUCCACCUGCCUCCUCCUGUCAUUCCCCGCCUGGCGCUCCAUCUACCUCCACCUCUCCAUCCUCCAGCUUUCUCCUUUUUAUUUGUUCAAACUCAUGGCUUUCCUCCUCACCACUCCUCCGUGUCCUCAUCCACCCCCCACCCCCCUUUACGCGCGGUGUGUCACUGCCGCCGAGAAGAAAGAAAGACAGAAAGAAAGAAAGAAAGAAAGAAAGAAAGAAAGACAGAAAGAAAGAUCCUGUCGACACGUGAAAAGAGACAGCAGAAGCGGAGUCAAAGAGGAGCAGAGAGGGAGCGGAGCGCACAGCGAUCUGCCUCAUCCACCACGGGCCAGACCCUUCCUUGAUGGAAUAUCCCGGACGGCGGAACGAGGGCAGAAGGAGGGAGAAGGAGAAACAGCGGAGGAGAAGGGGAUAGAAGAUUAAUACAACCGAGAACUCGGGAUUGCCUCGAGAGGUCCAGUCUCAUUGUCCUCACGCGCACACUUGGCUGCAGAGCGCGUGUGUGUCCGUGUGCAUGUGAGGACGAAAGCUCAUGAGCCGAUCAUCCCUGCAGCUCCACUUCCCACUCUCAGGUCUGAAUAGAUGCCGUGCGUCAGGUAGACCAUGCCGUUCACCUGCGCCUGCUUCUGUGGCCUGAACGGCUUCUGCUGCAAACGAAGGCAGAAACGAAGGGAGCGUGUGGAAGAAAGGGAGGGCGAGGAAGAAGAGCAACGGCGGGAUGAGGAAACAGAGGUGUGACAGGAUCUCUGUCUGGAUCUGCGCAGCUCAGUCUGUGUUUUUAAAAGUAGUUUUUCACUUUUUUGUGUACAUAAAUGAGACAAUCGAGGUUUAAGAGACACCGUUCUGAAUCAGAGCAUCGAUUUUCUACUGGGAUUUAGAGAAAAUUAUUUAUUUUGUACGUUUACAAAAACUCUCAAUAGCUGCACAAAGUGGUGAAGAGACUCUUGUUUGGUUCAGUCACACUCCUCAGAACCCCCCCCCCCCCCCACACACACACACACACCUGUAUUGCAAGCCCCUGUUGGAGGCUGAGCUGGAACCGAGCCGCACCGCAUCCACACCUACCUGCUCAUGUCAGAUCAACUUAGAGAAAACUUAAGCCGAGUGAGAAGGCGCGGAGUAAUUUCCAGAGUCGCCCACAGAGCGCUGGAGCCCAUCACAGAUUUUCACGCUGCGCUGGGCUCCAUCUAAAGCCAAGCAGCUGUCCAAUCAGCAGCUUAGCUGGAGUGUGAAGAUGGGAGUCAAGGGUCAGAAUGAGGAAUCGGAGAGCACCUUGUCCUCUGAUGCUGUGGCAUCUCCGUCUUGUUAAUCGGCAGGCAGGUAAUUACGAAUAGAUUACUGAUAGCGCCCCCCCUUCAGCUGUCACCUGUUCCAUCUAUGGUCAUAACUGCAGACUGCUAGAGCCAAGGCCAGCGUGGUUUGGGGUUACCUUCAGCGUCCGACCACGAAGACAAAGUCUCAUUUGCGGGCGUGAUUAUGCGCGGCACGUCCAGUCAGGCGGUGGAGAUGUAAUUAACCUUUUCCAGCAGGAAACAGAUGCCUGGACGUCACACACAAACAUGCACAAUGACAAACAGACUCACACACGUCUGCUGUCAGGGAAACAAAGCCAACGUCACGGUGUCACGGAGACAAAGCCCCAAAAGCGCCGCCUGGCACUCAGCGAUAAUCCCCUCACACAUUUUUUACAUUCAGAAUGUGCCUCUGUGGAUCUCUGUCUGUCUUACACCACCAACACCACCACCUUUUAUAUCAAACUCUCCUUGGUUGGACAUGGCCUUACAGAUAAACUCUAUUCUUCGGAAUAUCAGCAACUUCCUAAAAUGCGCAAAAUGCUGCUUUGCUUCAGAUUUAUGGACGACCGGAUGGUGUGCGCCAGUGCGUGUCUGAAAAGACGGUGUGUUUACACGCACGCACAGGCGAUGCAGUGAAACAAAGCUAAAGCCAUUUCACAGAGCACGGCACCUAUUAUGAUUCAGUGUUACGAUGCAGCUCUAAUGAGAAGCAGAGAAUGAGGGGAGGGGUUGGAGGAGGAAGCCAGGAGAUGAGAAUGAGUGCGAGGGCUGAAAAUGCAGAUGGGGGUGGGAGGGGGUGUUAUGCUAGACAGAAUAGUCAUGCUAAUUGGCUACAGUAGAUAACUUUCUGAAGGUUGGGUGGGGGGAGUGAGGGAUGCGGCGUAAAGAGAGCAGCAUGAUCUGCCUUCAUCACCGCUCCCUUCAUUUAACCCUCCUAAUAGGAGGAAUAUUGGCAGCAGUAAUAGCAAAAGACAAAAAAUGAUUUGUUUUUUGGUGAAAGGAUUUAUUGUCGGGUAGGGGUGGGGGGUAGAGCUGCAGGGAAAUGUUACUUGGCAGCAGUGUGUUAUUUAUUUUUUUUAUAACCCAAUCCUUUAUGGAUCAUGGCAAUUUUCAGGCAAUGCAAGUCAAGGACAAACAGCUAAAAAUAGAAGGACGGUGCACGACUCUUACGAUAGCACCAAUGGGGGGGUAGAGGGAGGUGGGUAUAAGAGGGGGGCGAGCGCGAAAAAUGAGUCCUGUCGCAUUAGAUUUGGGUCAGAAAAAAAGGGAAGAACCAGCGAAGCGGAGGCUGCUGCAGACGGCCGGAGACUCAUCUGUCGCACCUUUCGGCGCUUCUCUGACGCCUCUACUGCAAAACACCUGACGGUAUAGGAGGGGCCGACACAAACAGGGAUGCAGAAGACGCGAGGACCUGUUAAGAAAAAAAAAGUAGGUCAGGGACACUGAAGAUUCUUGAUUUGUAACAACCAAAUACAGAAAUGAGUGUCAAAAAUACCAGAGGUUUUAAGAAUUCACUCAUAUUUUAACAGAUAUCCACAGAGCAGCUGAAUCUGACUUUAAAUAUAAAAGCAGAAAUUCCUUUUGGACACCUUUCCACUUAGAAACUUAGACAGUAAAGAGGAAAUGCUGGAAAAAAAAAGCCCGUUUGAAAAAUUAAUCAAUGAUGUCUUUUUUUAAUCAAAUCUAAAGUCUUCAUCAUAUUGUUCCAGCCUGAACUGACUGUGUAAUGAACACAUUCAUAAAGCUUUAAGCCCCCCAAAAUGUGGUAAUUCAUAAGCCCCCAAUGUUUGGAAUUAUUCUGCUGGUUUCACUGCAAUUUGAGCUUAAUUUUCCUAAUAUAUGUCCUCCAUCAUCAGAAAAAUGGCUCAAGAACAUAUUAAACACACACAAAAAAAGGUGUUUUUCAUCAGAGUGGGUUUUUGAUCACCAACUUUUUGCUUGUUUCUGGUCUGGCCCAAAACUUUAUCUUAACAUCUGAAGAAAAGUUUCAGCACCUCAACUCAAAGCCCAAAUAUUUUCUGAUUGUUGUUCUUUAUUAACUGGUUUGUCUUUCUGUUGUCAUUGGCAGUCAACAGAAUAGUUGGUGCUUAGCCACUGGAGGUGGAUUUUCAAAAACAUUCCCUGUCAGAAACACUCUUCCAAUGGAGCGACUUUACGGAUAGAAUUCCAGCACGCAAUGCAAGUAAAUUAUAUUUAUCCAAAAGAUGCAGUUGUGCUUUAAACACCUGGACAGUGUUCAGGUAAAGUGCUUAACUGCACGGUCAGUGAAAGAGGUUGGCUCAUGGGUGAUAAACCCUACAACCAUACGAAAAAUCAAGGAGAAAAAUGUCUUAAAAUGUAACUAAAUGUUGCUUUGAGGCACUAAAUGCCAAGUGUGUCAAUCCUGCCCAAAGAUGUCAGCUAAAUUUAGACUGUGCUACAAUUUGGCACCAACCAAAUGUCACUACUCCCAACUAUCUCAAACCGUAAACAUUUCCCCUGACAGACCGCUCAUGACUGGUGACCUUUCCAGGGUCUACCCUUGACGGAUAGAAGAGGUGAGCCUUUCAUGUUGGUUGAUUUUAGGACUUGAAAUAAAAAAAAACAUUGAUUUAUGAUCCUUUUUUUUUUAUCCCAAAGCUAAUCCUGUGUGGAUUCAUGGAUGAUAUUAAUGUAAAUUUAUACUUUAUCUUUCAAAUACUGACAUUGCAGUCAUGAAAACUAGGCUCAAUUGAAGGUUAAUUUUACAAAGAAAUUAUGGAAAAAUGGGUUUUUGAUAGGUCAGUACCUUAGAAGUUACUUUUUUACUACUUUACUCCCUAUUUUUAGGAGAUUUAUAGAAGUCAGUUAAGCCUCUUGACGAUUUCCCACCUUACCUUUUUCCCCUUUACCCACAUCUGUUGUGUUUUUCCCAAUAAAGAGAAGAGUGAUGGCCGCUCCACGGCUAAUUAGGAUGUCUGAGAGGCAAAACACUAAUAGACUAGUAAUAGAGUCAGAUGGGAAGCACAGAUGCUGGAUCUCCUAGCAGUCACAAAGCAUCAGAAGAGGGAACUGGGAAAAAGGCAUGCUGCGAGAGGAGAUAAAAACGGGCCUAGGAGGUGUUGGAGAGAGAUAUAUGGCGUAAUUGAGACUGUAAUAGGUUUUGUCAGGAGCACCUGUCAGGGUCAAGUUAAAAUGGCUCCGGUGAUGGGGAGGAGAGAGAGGAGACAAUGGGAAAGCAAAGAGCGGGGCCAAUUGGAGUCAGGAUCCUCAUAAGAAGAGGCUCUUCUCUAUACCAACCUCGCCUGAUUGCUAAUUUGUGCCAGUCAACGGGCAUCAAACGGCAAGUCUCACAAUGCACAUAAAUAUUACUGAUUGGAGUGCGGUUACCUGUUAAACGCACCCACUCACACCCAACCCACACAAAUACACCACGACAACACACCAAAUCCGUCUGAUUAUACCUGUCUCAGUGUUUAACAAGGUGUCCACAUAAGCGUGUGAUUGAAAAGCACAACUGCCACUGGUAAAUACCAAACUCUCCCCCCGUGUCUAAAUGAAAAAUAAGGGUGGAGGGCUUAUUAUAUUGGUGCCUGCUGUGCCAACCUAAGUUCUGCACCAUGUUCAUUACCAGCCCCCCACCUGUGUCGAUCACUCGCCACCCCGCAACCUGUCUGUAAUAGAAAAACCAAUUCUCACUUAAGAGUUGAGGUCCAUGCCUCGGGGGAGAUGAAAUCAAGUAGAGUGGGAUUUAUUUAUAAGUCGCAGCUAAAGCUGCACCUGGCAAUCCUGUCAAACUCCAACGGCCAGGAGAAAUAACUCAAAUCUUGGACUUUCUGCAGGAAAAAAAAUCCAUUUAGGUGCUGUCAGCUAGAUGAAUCACAUGAGGUGAUACAUAAAUCUAUCUAUCUAUCUAUCUAUCUAUCUAUCUAUCUAUCUAUCUAUCUAUCUAUCUAUCUAUCUAUCUAUCUAUCUAUCUAUCUAUCUAUC